rnacentral:rRNA from 1 species
GACGAACGCUGGCGGCGUGCCUAAUACAUGCAAGUAGAACGCUGAAGGAGGAGCUUGCUUCUCUGGAUGAGUUGCGAACGGGUGAGUAACGCGUAGGUAACCUGCCUGGUAGCGGGGGAUAACUAUUGGAAACGAUAGCUAAUACCGCAUAAGAGUAGAUGUUGCAUGACAUUUGCUUAAAAGGUGCAAUUGCAUCACUACCAGAUGGACCUGCGUUGUAUUAGCUAGUUGGUGGGGUAACGGCUUACAAAGGCGACGAUACAUAGCCGACCUGAGAGGGGGAUCGGCCACACUGGGACUGAGACACGGCCCAGACUCCUACGGGAGGCAGCAGUAGGGAAUCUUCGGCAAUGGACGGAAGUCUGACCGAGCAACGCCGCGUGAGUGAAGAAGGUUUUCGGAUCGUAAAGCUCUGUUGUAAGAGAAGAACGAGUGUGAGAGUGGAAAGUUCACACUGUGACGGUAUCUUACCAGAAAGGGACGGCUAACUACGUG